rnacentral:rRNA from 1 species
GAUGAACGCUGGCGGCGUGCCUAAUACAUGCAAGUCGAGCGAACGGACGAGAAGCUUGCUUCUCUGAUGUUAGCGGCGGACGGGUGAGUAACACGUGGAUAACCUACCUAUAAGACUGGGAUAACUUCGGGAAACCGGAGCUAAUACCGGAUGAUAUUUUGAACCGCAUGGUUCAAAAGUGAAAGACGGUCUUGCUGUCACUUAUAGAUGGAUCCGCGCUGCAUUAGCUAGUUGGUAAGGUAACGGCUUACCAAGGCAACGAUGCAUAGCCGACCUGAGAGGGUGAUCGGCCAAACUGGAACUGAGCAACGGUCCAGACUCCUACGGGAGGCAGCAGAAGGGAAUCUUCCGCAAUGGGCGAAAGCCUGACGGAGCAACGCCGCGUGAGUGAUGAAGGUCUUCGGAUCGUAAAACUCUGUUAUUAGGGAAGAACAUAUGUGUAAGUAACUGUGCACAUCUUGACGGUACCUAAUCAGAAAGCCACGGCUAACUACGUG